GCUCCCCCGCGGGAGCCCGCGCGUGGUUCCCAGCGAAGUCCCCGCGCGGCUGGGCCCAGCGUGAGUAUUCUCCGCCCGCUGUCCUCCCCCUGGAGGCGGCAGCGCCCGUUUAUUUGAGGAGGAUGAGGCUGUCACUACUACAGUUGGGACUGUUUCAUACUCCUUGCUCUUGUGCUAUGCCAGGGGGUACUGUCUAACCCACAAGUCUCUGCCAGGAAUGUUGCCGUCCACACUGGAGUGUAAGACACCUGCGGAGCUCGUCUGUGGGGCUCAUGUUGGCUGAGGCUCUGAACUACAGAAUUGCAAACAACCAAGGGAACGCCCCAGGCCCCCAAGCUUCUAAUGUGAGGAAAAACACGGAAUGACAAGUGUGGGAAAGAGCAAGCACUAAAUUACUGUCAGAAAAAUAAACGGAGUAGCACAGUGCUGCUCGGUGAUUUACGGGGGCAAUUAGUCACCACCCCACGGCGCUGCUGAGGACAGCACAGCAGCAGACAAGUCAGGCCCACGAGGAAGAAGAGGCUUUGCACUGCUCUCCAGACAACUUUUCAAACAACAAGAGAGGAUAUUUGAGCACAUUAGGUUUUGUGUCUUCAUUCUGGCCAUGUGAAGAUGUGCUUGCUUCGCCUUCCAUCAUGACUGAAGUUUCCUGAGGCCUCCCCAGCUAUGCUCCCUAUACAGCCUGCAGAACGGUCGGCUGCCUCCAAUCCUGAGGUCAUCACUCAUCAAGAGGGGAUAAUCCCAGGGACAGCAGGAUCUGCUUCGUUACUUGGAUUUAGGAGCCAGAAACCCAUCAGGCAACUAAACAGUAACAAUGACCCACCAUUAAACACACUGAGAGAAGAGCAUGAUGAAGAGUUUGUACAAGAAGAAGCCAGGAGCACUUGCUGACAAUGCUUACAGAGACGCAGGCUUCUAUGAGCUCUGCCUGUUGAACUGCAGUAAAAAUAGAUCUCCUUCCCCAGAGAGGCUUGGAUGUGGGCACAAUAUCAGUUCAGACGAUGGUCAAUGCAUGUACUUAAUAGAGUGAAAAGACUUUGGACUGUGAAGUCAGAUUACCUGGGUCUGAAUUGUUAUUCUUCUACUUCUUUGUAGUAUGCUUUCACCACAUUAAAAAUUGUCUGAGCCUCAA
rnacentral:lncRNA from 1 species